AGGGGUAUGGUGUAACGGUAGCACAAGCGCCUCUGGAGCGCUUUGUCUAGGUUCGAAUCCUAGUACCCCUG
rnacentral:tRNA from 1 species